CAGCUCAUCGAGUGUGACAGUUGGGCAGGGUUGCUGAUACUCAGAAGCCAGGAAUAGAAUUCUUCAAAAUGAAGGCGAUGAGCCAUCACAAGGAAGGAUGAUGUGCGAAGGGGACCAGUGCAAGACAGGGUCUCGUGGAGCCCGGGCUGGCCUCAAAUUCACUGUGUAGCAGGAUAUGACUCCAACUUCUGACCCUCCUGCUUCCAUCUCCUGAGUACUGCGACCACAGAUGUGCACCCCCAUGUCCAGAUGCUGGGAAUGGAACCGAAGGACUUAUGCGUGCUAGGUGAGCUCCAUUCCCACUGAGCUCCAUCAGAAGCCCUGCCCUUUCCUUUCCUCCAUAAAGAAAAAAAUGUAAUAAAAGUUUCAGCUGAUGAUUGCGGC
rnacentral:lncRNA from 1 species